rnacentral:rRNA from 1 species
GACGAACGCUGGCGGCGUGCUUAACACAUGCAAGUCGUACGGAAAGGCCCUGCUUUUGUUGGGUGCUCGAGUGGCGAACGUGUGAGUAACACGUGAGUAACCUGCCCUUGACUUUGGGAUAACUUCAGGAAACUGGGGCUAAUACCGGAUAGGAGCUCCUGCUGCAUGGUGGUGGUUGGAAAGUUUCGGCGGUUGGGGAUGGACUCGCGGCUUAUCAGAUUGUUGGUGGGGUAGUGGCUUACCAAGGCUUUGACGGGUAGCCGGCCUGAGAGGGUGACCAGCAAAAUUGGGACUGAGAGAAGGCCCAGACUCCUACGGGAGGCAGGAGGGAGGAAUAUUGCAAAAUGGAGGGAAGACUGAUGCAGCAACGACGCGGGCGGGAUGACGGCCUUCGAGUUGUAACCCGCUUACGCCUGUGACGAAGCGUGAGUGACGGUAAGGGGUAAAGAAGCACAGGCUAACUACGUG